rnacentral:rRNA from 1 species
AUUGAACGCUGGCGGCAGGCCUAACACAUGCAAGUCGAACGCGUGGCGGACGGGUGAGUAAUGUGUGGGACACUGCCUGAUGGAGGGGGAUAACUACUGGAAACGGUCGAUAAUACCGCAUACCAUCAGAUGUGCCCAUAUGGGAUUAGCUUGUGGGUGGGGUAACGGCUCACCAAGGCGACGCUCCCUAGCUGGUCUGAGAGGAUUACCAGCCACACUGGAACUGAGACACGGUCCAGACUCCUACGUGAGGCAGCAGUGGGGAAUAUGGCACAAUGGGCGCAAGCCUGAUGCAGCCAUGCGGCGUGUAUGAAGAAGGCCUUCGGGUUGUAAAGUACUUUCAGCGGGGAGGCGUUACCCGCAGAAGAAGCACCGGCUAACUCCGUGCCAGCAGCCGCGGUAAUAC